UACGAGGGGGGCAAGCGUUGUUCGGAAUUAUUGGGCGUAAAGGGCGCGUAGGCGGUGCGGUAAGUCACCUGUGAAACCUCUAGGCUUAACCUAGAGCCUGCAGGCGAAACUGCCGUGCUUGAGGGUGGGAGAGGUGCGUGGAAUUCCCGGUGUAGCGGUGAAAUGCGUAGAUAUUGGGAAGAACACCGGUGGCGAAGGCGGCGACCUGGUCCUUGACUGACGCUGAGGCGCGAAAGCGUGGGGAGCAAACAGG
rnacentral:rRNA from 1 species